CCUGAGACUCGUCCGGAGCAGCACAAGCCAUCAGCUUCACAAGAGUCCUGAGAGCUCAGAGAGGGACAUGAGGGACUGUGAGCGACACCAGGCCUGCUUGGGAGAACUGCUAGUUCUAGUCUGUUAGUUCAUAUUCUCUGUUUCCUCCAUGGAAGACAGAGAAAAACCGAUGUAAGACGGAAUGUAUCUUAACAAAGCGUCCCAUGACUUCCCCUAACUUCAAGGGGCAACAAAUCAAGGUCCUCUUUCAGGCCUGUCCAGUACCAGCUCAGGGCUCCUCAGGAGAGACUAUUCAUAGCUUGGAACUAUUGCAUCACAUUGCACAAGUGUGGAGUGGGCAGCUGGACCGGAGCUUGAACUGCUGCUGGGUGAGUGACCAUCUUCUGGCUGCUUUCUGUUGGCUCAGGAAGCAUCUAAAGAAGGUGGAUUUGUUUGUCAGUUGAGCAACAUGCCACUGUCCUGCCCAUGACUGACUUUCUCCCUUUAAACAUUAACCGUCUCUUAAAAUGUUUGUGUUUUGUGCCCAAGGUCAAGGGAGCCUCAAAAGAAGGAGAAGGAGUAAAGAGGGAGGAAGAAUAAAGAAGGGAAGAGGCAAAGGAAGAACCCCUGCAUCAACAGUUCACUCGUUCCUCUAGUAUUUCCUAAGUGUCCAUGGUGUCCCAGGCACCUCCUGGCUUGUCCUGGUUCUCGCAGGUAUAGAACACUAUUGCCAUCCUUACAGACUCACACAAAAGUGAGGUAGGAGAAAAGCCAGACAACCAAAUGGACAGAAUGUGGCAGAAGUCAUAGAAACCCACAGCUAACCAAUUGAGAUAGAUACUUCCUAAAAAGAGAAGACAUACAGAACACUGGACCCAAAAUGACUCUAGCUUUAUGGCUUCUGAGCACUAGACAAGGACCCAUCAGACAGGGAUAGCCUCAGCCCUUCAUUUGAAUUCAGUGCUGUUCACGGGACUAAACAGAAAACACUAUUCCUAGUCCUUCAUUAAAACCUGAUGCUUUGCAGGGGCCCGGACCAGAAGACUCUAUUCUUCAUCUUUAGUUUAUAUAUGGACCCAACCAAAAGAUUCUGUUCAUGAUCCUUCAUUUACAUCCAAUGAGAGGCCAAGGAAGUUUUUCAAUAGAACAAUUUACAUCUGGCAUGAGACCAACUGACGCUUUGAUAGGACAAUUGUCCCAGUGCCGUAUUUACAUGAGUGGUAGCCAAAUCAGAUAUUUUGGAUACUAAAGGCCCCUUCCUCUUUUCUUUAGGGCCACUAUCAGCUCUCUUCACCAGUCCCCUCUGGACCUAUAGAGUAUACUUUUUUCUGCCUUCAAUAAAUCUGCAUCCUCACUGCCUUUUCUGUCUUUCUUGUCCAAUUCUUUGCUCAGGACACCAAGGGUCCAUAAAGAAGCUCCUGGGGACCCCCAUCUGGUAACAGAAGGAGACAGACUUGUAAACAGAACAUAAAGGGAAAAAAAAAAUCCAGCGCUCUCACCCGCCUUCUACUUGGCUUCUGCCUUCCGGAGAAGGUUGCAUGGGGAGACAGAGGUUAGAAAUUUGAAAAUUUCCAGAGUCUUUGACACAGGGCAGUGCAUCCCAAACAUUAGUGAGCAAAACUGAUCUGGAAGACCUUUAAAAGGAAGCUUCCAGCUGAGCAACUCGAUUUCAGUGGCUUUGGCAUCGGGACCCAAAGCUUCUGAAGAUUCUGAUUUUAAGUGAUUCACUAUCGCAAGGGGGCGCUGCUCUUCCAAAACAAGACUGAGGAAUCAAACCUGGCAACUGCAGGGCACAGAACUAACCAGCCCACGAGAGGCAGAUGGAACAAGGAGAGGAAAAAGAGCCAUCCAGAGGAUUAGGGACAGGAAGUGGGAAGAAGAGAAAACCCAGAGAGUGGGAAAGAAAGAAUCUCUUUCCCGAUAUGAAUCAGUGAUGCAGAUUUAGCAGAGACACAGGGACCUAUGAGUAGGUGGCUGGAGUCUGUGGUUUGGCCAGAAUUCUCAGGGUCUUUGUUAGGAAGACUUGAUGACUCACCUAAGCAAGCACAAGCCAUAGAAAGCAAACUUUGCUAGAGCCUUGAGUGUAGUAAAUACCAGCUAUGGAGCAUUGCUUAUCUUAGGUGGCUGCAAAAGGGAGUCUGUUUAGAGAAGAUGCACUAGGUUGACGCUGGCUCUGGUAAUUUCCCUGUUUUUGGCCGCCCUGCCGGCCUUCACCCCAACCCUCCCAGCCGCAGCCCGGUCACCUCCAGAGCAGCUUCCUGCUGGCUGUGCUGGAAGGUGGGAGUGGUCCAGCCUCGGGGAAGACUGAGUGUGGAUACCCACCCGUGGUCUGUGCACCCUGUGGGGGGAACUUCCCCUUUCCUGCCCGCAUCAAGGUGGUUUUCGCUCCUGAACUGUAUUUAGCCCACCUAUGCACUCUCUCGGACUUGUUGAAUCUCACCCUAGAACCAUGUGGUUCUUCUCCAGCUUCUGCUAAGAUGUUCAUCCUGGUCCUUUGCUCAAAGUGCGCUUCUCCCCACUCCUCUCCAAAGACUCAUCUCUCCCUCCUCCUUUCAGCACUUGUUCCGUUGUUCCUCCCCAGGUGAAUUCUUCUUCCCUUUCCCAUCUGGAGUCCUUAGUCCUUACUGAUUGGUCCUGAAGUUCUUGGUUCAGGUUUGCUCCUCGUACUUGACUCCAGGUUCCAGACACGACUCCCGGAAGUCACUAGAGAGCGAUAGUUAGGAACUCUGGCAGAAUCUCAACACUGCCACCUCCCAGCCUUGCACAAGUUAUUUCAUUGCCCUAAGUCUCGGAUUCCUUUUCUAUAGAUUGGGAGAACAACUGUACUGUGAGGAUCCAGGGAGCUAAUAUUGGCCCAGAUCCUGAAACACUGUAGCCCUCAAUGAAUGUUUGCUCUUAUUUUUAUACAUAUUCAUAUCCUUCCUUGUGUUUAGUCUCUAUGGAUUUAGCAAAAUAGACACUAAUAAUAUUUACUGAAUUAUACAUUAGCAGUUUAAGAAGAGGUGGGAAGUUCAAUCUAUCCAUUCAUACAUUUGUAUUUUAUGGUGUUUCCUGUCUACAAGGGUUUGUUUAGAGCGGAAUUAUCUAAAUAAGCCUAGGCAGCCUCUUCUUCAUUACUCUUCCUUUUGUGCCCAUUGCUUCAGGCUGUUUUUGUCACUUCUUUUCUCCUGCUUACAUUUUCUGC
ensembl:lincRNA